UGUGGCUCUCUCCCUCAGCCUAGGACCCAGGAGUGUCUCUGACUGCACUGGUGGUCUUGGGAGUCCACUCCAGAAGAGGUGUUCACGCUCUCCUUGUGUCUGACUGCUGCUGGUUCUCCUGAUCCCCACGCCUGUCCGGCGCAGGGAGUGAGUCUGUGGUUUCACUUUGUCCCCCUGCUGGCAUCUGUAAGGUGUGCAGGACUCCUUUCUUCUUCUGUAUCAAUUAAACCUUUUAGCUUUUUGGUCCGUCGGCUCUGGGGAACUCCACUCCCCUUGGUAACUCCCCAGACUCCUGUUUCCAGACUCUGGACCCUUGGUCCUGGACAAGCUGAGCUGCCCACACUCCCUGCUCGCCAGUUUUUUCUCUCUAAGGUGGAUUUUAGAUUCUCACCACAAACGGGAUCCACAUCGGCCUCCAGAAGUCAUCAGGAGAUGCCUGGCCUGAGAGAACAAAGAUUCAAAACUGCUGGCGUCCACUGGGAGGUCAUAGCAUCUCUAGGAUUGGACAAGGCAGGAGAGGCAGAUUUGGCAGUCACCGGCACGGGGAUGGUACUGACACUCAAGACCAGGCAAAUACUUGUACAGGAAGACUUUGGGGAAAUAAAGAGACGACAGUCCAGAGCUGAGGAGCCUCUCUAGGGAAACGGAGUCAGAGAAAUGGGAAGGUGCCAAGGACAAAGAAGCAGGGGAGGCU
rnacentral:lncRNA from 1 species